rnacentral:tRNA from 1 species
GCUGGCGUAGCUUAAGAUAAAGCAUAACACUGAAGAUGUUAAGCUGGCCCUUAAAAGGUCCCGCUGGCA